rnacentral:rRNA from 1 species
AGUGAACGCUGGCGGUAGGCCUAACACAUGCAAGUCGAACGGCAGCACAGUAAGAGCUUGCUCUUACGGGUGGCGAGUGGCGGACGGGUGAGGAAUACAUCGGAAUCUACUUUUUCGUGGGGGAUAACGUAGGGAAACUUACGCUAAUACCGCAUACGACCUACGGGUGAAAGCAGGGGAUCUUCGGACCUUGCGCGAUUGAAUGAGCCGAUGUCGGAUUAGCUAGUUGGCGGGGUAAAGGCCCACCAAGGCGACGAUCCGUAGCUGGUCGGAGAGGAUGCCCACCCCCAGUAGAGCUGAGCCACCGCCCAGCCCACGCCGGGACGCACCAGUGGGGAAUUUGGACCAAGGCGCGCAGCCCUUACCCCCCCCUCCGGCGUGGGUAAAGAAGGCCUUGGGUUUGUAAACCCUUUUUGUGGGAAAAAAAAAACAGCGGUUUAAUCCCCCGUUUUUCGGACGGUCCCCAAAAAAUAACCCCCGGCUAACUCCGUC